CAGUAGCCGCGGUAAAACAGAGGGUGCGAGCGUUAAUCGGAUUUACUGGGCGUAAAGCGUGCGUAGGCGGCUUCUUAAGUCGGAUGUGAAAUCCCUGAGCUUAACUUAGGAAUUGCAUUCGAUACUGGGAAGCUAGAGUAUGGGAGAGGAUGGUAGAAUUCCAGGUGUAGCGGUGAAAUGCGUAGAGAUCUGGAGGAAUACCGAUGGCGAAGGCAGCCAUCUGGCCUAAUACUGACGCUGAGGUACGAAAGCAUGGGGAGCAAACAGGAUUAGAUACCCGCGUAGUCCCUGUCUCUUAUAA
rnacentral:rRNA from 1 species